rnacentral:rRNA from 1 species
CGGCGUGCUUAACACAUGCAAGUCGAACGAGACGAUUUAGAAGCUUGCUUUAUGAGUCGAGUGGCAAACGGGUGAGUAACGCGUAGACAACCUGCCGCAAAGAUGGGGACAACAGUCCGAAAGGACUGCUAAUACCGAAUGUUGUAUCUCCUCCGCAUGGAAGAGAUAUUAAAGAUGGCCUCUACUUGUAAGCUAUCGCUUUGCGAUGGGUCUGCGUCUGAUUAGCUAGUUGGUGGGGGCAACGGCCUACCAAGGCGACGAUCAGUAGCCGGUCUGAGAGGAUGAACGGCCACAUUGGAACUGAGACACGGUCCAGACUCCUACGGGAGGCAGCAGUGGGGAAUCUUCCGCAAUGGGCGAAAGCCUGACGGAGCAACGCCGCGUGAGUGAAGAAGGUCUUCGGAUCGUAAAGCUCUGUUGUCGGGGACGAAUGUUGAGACCUAGAACAUAGGUUUCAAAUGACGGUACCUGACGAGGAAGCCACGGCUAACUACGUG